rnacentral:rRNA from 1 species
AGUGAACGCUGGCGGUAGGCCUAACACAUGCAAGUCGAACGGCAGCACAGUAAGAGCUUGCUCUUACGGGUGGCGAGUGGCGGACGGGUGAGGAAUACAUCGGAAUCUACUUUUUCGUGGGGGAUAACGAAGGGAAACUUAUGCUAAUACCGCAUACGACCUACGGGUGAAAGCAGGGGAUCUUCGGACCUUGCGCGAUUGAAUGAGCCGAUGUCGGAUUAGCUAGUUGGCGGGGUAAAGGCCCACCAAGGCGACGAUCCGUAGCUGGUCUGAGAGGAUGAUCAGCCACACUGGAACUGAGACACGGUCCAGACUCCUACGGGAGGCAGCAGUGGGGAAUAUUGGACAAUGGGCGCAAGCCUGAUCCAGCCAUACCGCGUGGGUGAAGAAGGCCUUCGGGUUGUAAAGCCCUUUUGUUGGGAAAGAAAAGCAGCAGGUUAAUACCCCGCUGUUCUGACGGUACCCAAAGAAUAAGCACCGGCUAACUUCGUG